AAAAAAAAAAUAACCCGGCAGCAACUUAACAUUCAGGCAGGCUUUACAGUGCAGAAACGGAGGCAGCUAGCUUGAAUUGUACUUAGUGUAACCGUGGAGACAGGCAAGAGGCAAUUGUAGUAGUACUGAGGAGACACAAGAGAGGCAGGAUUGUACUUAGUGUAACCAAGGAAAUGGGCAGAAGCAGAUUGGUGGCUCUCAAAGAACACCACUCUAAAUUAAAAAAAAAAAAUAUUAAAAAGAUCCAAUAAAAAGAAGAAACAACAGAGAAAAAAAAAUGACUUGGUAGCAGGCUUUGAUCAUCAUUUUACAAUUUUAAGACAUUUUCAAGUGACAGUCGUAGCGUAAGGGUCAUAUUUGGCCGUAGAUGUAUGAGACUUUGACACAUUUUGGGACAUUUUCUAUAUUAAUCAUUUGGCUUGUAGUUUAGAAGUGGGAUGUGUAAGCUAGAUUUGAAAUUUUCAAUAUAAACAGACAAUAAUAAAGUUGUUGUGUUAGGUCUAAUUAAGCUUUGACAUUGCCCACUGCUUGGCAUAAUACGUAAAUGUUAAUUAUAUUAAGAAAAUGUAUGAAGGCAAAGUAUUGGUCAGGUUUAAUAUUCUUUUCAUGUAAUACUGUCAACUGUGAUGGUAUUUUGUGACAACACUUUGCUGACUGUUAGUACUCCACACUAGAAACUGCAAGAUAUAAAAAGGUGCUAGAGCCUAGUAGUGUGAAACUAGUUUCUCUAUGAACUGUUAUUGCUUUCCUUGAAUGUUGAGUUCAGCUUUGGUGGUUAUAAAAACAACAAUGGACUUUCCAGAUUUUUUUCCAAUAUAUUUGUUGUGUUCUUCUUUCCAUAGUGUAAUAAGUCACAUGUUAUUUGUGAAAAACAUGUUUGUGAUUCUUUAGAUUCUGGUCUUUCACUACUUAUUAUUUCUACAGCUCAUAAAUGGACAGUGUUAGUGAUCUUCUGUGACCAUACAGAGUAUUUGAACAUUGUCUUACAGACACUUCCAUAGUUUGUAAAUGUUUUUGAUACAAACCAUUAUGUCAUAGCUGAUUUUUUCUAGUCAGUUAUCAAACAACUGUCAUUUUCAUCGAACUGCAGUAAAAUUUGCAUGUACCCAUUUUUUUAAAACUUUUUUUUUUAAAUUUUUUCUCCCUAAAAAAUAAAAUAUUGAAAAUUAGUCGUUGAGAAUGUGUGUUAUUUCUGUUUCUAUUGGGUAUACAUUAAGAAAACAUCUGCUCAUUGUGGAAGUCUAAUUUGUUUAAUAAUAUUUUAGUAGCAGCAGCUGUUGUCAUCGUUCACGGAUACAUAAGACUUUGUAUUUCAAAUUCUUUUAUUUUGAUGUUUGGGUUUUUAAAAAAAAAUUUUUCUACUCCUUAAAGGAAGUUCCAAAUCAUCAGAAAUACAUAAUUUAGGAAUUGGACUUAAUUCUUGAACAUUUGCUGCACAUUUUAAUAAAAAUACUCCUUUAUUUAGCAAAAGUUUGUGUUUGAGACAUUAGCUAUUAUUAAUGCUGUAGAUGGAAAUAUAGAAACGUGUAAAUGUUAAGUACAGCAUAUUUAAUAAUUGUAUUUGGAUGAAAAAUUAGUCUUUAUUCCAGGCAUUGAUUUACUUGACACAAGUCUCCUGAAAUUGUAGCUUAUUGCAGUUGCAAGCUUUCAUAAAACUGCCAAUGUAUUUGCUUGUGUGCAUGACUUUGGAGUAAGCUACAAUUUUGAGAGGAAUUCUUUCACCGCUGCAGAUUUUCUACAUGAACUUCCAUUCUGCUUUCUUUUGUGGCUUAUAUCUAGUAUUGUUUUAAAUGGAGUAAUUUUUCUGAACGAAUCAAUUUGACUUCCAUAUGUAACAGCACUGAGAUAUAUUCCAACAUAAAUUUUGUUGCAUUAAACACUAAUUCACUCUAUUCUAGAUUAAAGUGUUAAGCAUUAGUUUGGUUUUUUGUUAGAUUUAGCUCAUAAUGAAUGACUUGAAAUCUAUAAAAUUUUAUAAUGCUCUGUUGUUACAUAGUGACAUGAAUUAUUAUAAGAUUUCCAAGUAUUUUGAAGUUACUCAAAAUUUAGUAUUUAGAAUGGAUUUUCAUUAAAAAAUACUUGUAACAAUGUUAAAAAUAAACCAAAAACAAAAGGAAAAAUAAGUUGGCUACAUGAAGUAUGUUGGAAUGCAUCCAGUUUGGGUUAUCUUUUUGUAAACCUUAUUUGUAUAAAAUUAUUAAAUAUCACAAGUUUCUUCAUAAAAUGCUCUUUUAAUGCAAACCUGGGACCAAUUUUAAGUUAGUAGAGAAAUUACUUUUAAUAUCAAAUUUGAAAAGAAAAGAAAAAAAGAAUUUAAAAAAUGUGUUUGAACAUUGAAAAAUGUAUAACUUGAGAUUACAUCGUAGCAAUUUCUGAAGUUAUUAAAACUUAAUUCUUCUCUACCGAUAGAUCAAUUUGACUUAAUGUUACCAUUACUAAGAUGAGAGUUACAUGGACUCUAAAAUGUUGUUAUAUGUUUCAUUUGUUCAGUGAUGCCUAGCUUUUUCUUCAUUAUUGUUUGUUGCAUCAAAUAACGGUUAAUUUUUAAUCAUACAAAGACUUCCAUCAUGGACAGCAAUGCUUUGAUUUGCAAAAUAUUUUUUAAAAUUAUCAAAUUCAGUUGUGCAUUGCUCUGUUGUAAAAAAAAAAACAAAAACAAAACUGUUCAUCGGAAUAUUUCCAAGAAAUGGCUUAUUCCCAUCAACAGUUAAUGUUUUGGCAUGAUACAUGAUGCUGCUGUCAUGAGAUUCUUUAAAUAUUUCUUUGCAGAGUAUUGAAAUUUUUCAACUGAAAAUGUUUCCUGGUUCUUAUGUAUUAAGCACUGCCUUUUUUAGAUUAAUAUGAUUGAUGCAAAAUUAUUAUUUUUCAUGUUUGAGUGUCAUCACUCCAGAUUAGAGUAUGAAACCUCUGCAAUAUAGAUUUAUCUGUUGUGGUGGUGGGAAUUAGAAAGAAUUGGUUUUCUACAGCAGUUUUAUUAGAUAAAAACAAAUAUGAUUGGUGGCAUAGCUAGUUGCUUUUUCACAGUCAGAAAAAAUAAAAUGGUUGAUUGAUGAUCAUGGACCCCAAAAAACUCUGAAAUGAUCAUCCCCAAUGACGCCAGUCUAGUUAGUUUUUGCUUGAACAGGAUUUUGCCAUGUCUAACCCUUCAACUCACAAGAUAGCUUAAAGUGUCAAGUCGCAGCCAAGGAAAAAGACACCUUUAAGUGCAGGUAAGAUAGGAUUUUAGUAAAUUCCAACUUUUAGAUUAGACUGUUAAUUGUUUCCUAAUUAUUGGUUGUUUGUAUUCGUUUAAUAGUUUAAAAAGAGAAAAUGGAAUUUUCUAUAGAGUCUGCUAAGAAAAUGUCUUGUCAGGUAAACUUUUCCAUGAGGUUCCUUUAUUCAGCUGUUGAUAGUUGAUUGGUCAAAAAUCUACUACAUGCACUUUCGGCUUAAUGACAAUUUCUGUAGAGGCACUGAAGUAAUGUAUUUUAUAAUACUUUAUAUAAUAGCUAUGAACUUUUAUGUUUACCUGGUAAAAAUUCUAUGAAAAGAAAAUCUCACUAAACAGUCAAGACGUAGACUUUUUUUUUUUUCUUCAAGUGAUAUGGAUGAUUCUCUGUGGGGCAAUUUUAAUGUAAAUCUUUCGUGCUUUGACCCCGCAAAAUGUAGCUAAUUUUUAGAAUUGAAAAUUGUUAGCAGCAGAGAAGUUCAGUGGCUGAUAAGAAGAGCAGUUUGGUAAUAAACCGAAUUUUUUAACAAGAUCAGUAAAUUUUAAUUCUGUUUGGAAUAUUGUUAGUGUAGAGAAAUAGAACAUUAAAGAUUGUGAGAAAACCCUGAUUUUUAUGAAUGCUUUUCACAUUUUUAUAGCAAAGUGUUUAAAAAGUGUAUUUUUAAUUUUUUUUUAGUUUGGUCCAUCAGGCUUGCAGAAGUGUUGAAAAUAAAUUUGUGCUGCAUCUAUGGACUUUUUUUAAAAUUAUAAUCCUAGCUGUGAUAUCGAAGAGGAAAACCUUCUGCAAAUCGAUCAGUUCUGACUGACUUCAAUUUGGAACUUUUGAGCAGGAAACAAGAUUACUUGUGGAAGUGGAGGCUUCUAUUCAUCCUGGAAGCAUGAAUGAAUGUACAUAAAAACCUUUUUAACUAAAUAAAUCUAUUUUUCUACAAAUG